rnacentral:tRNA from 1 species
GGUGGGUAUAGCUCAGUGGUAGAGCACAUGCCUAGCAUGCAUGAGGUCCUGGGUUCAGUCCCCAGUACCUCCA